rnacentral:rRNA from 1 species
UACGAAGGGGGCUAGCGUUGCUCAGAAUCACUGGGCGUAAAGCGCACGUAGGCGGAUCUUUAAGUCAGGGGUGAAAUCCCGGAGCUCAACUCCGGAACUGCCUUUGAUACUGAGGGUCUUGAGUCCGGGAGAGGUGAGUGGAACUGCGAGUGUAGAGGUGAAAUUCGUAGAUAUUCGCAAGAACACCAGUGGCGAAGGCGGCUCACUGGCCCGGUACUGACGCUGAGGUGCGAAAGCGUGGGGAGCAAACAGG